rnacentral:tRNA from 1 species
CAGGGCGUAGCUCAGCUUGGUAGAGCGCGUGCUUUGGGAGCACGAGGUCGCAGGUUCAACUCCUGUCGCCCUGA